AGAGUUUGAUCAUGGCUCAGGAUGAACGCUGGCGGUAUGCCUAACACAUGCAAGUCGAACGAUGUCUUCGGACAUAGUGGCGGACGGGUGAGUAACGCGUGAGAAUCUGCCUCUAGGAUGGGGAUAACGGUUGGAAACGACCGCUAACACCCAAUAUGCCGUAAGGUGAAAAAUUUAUUGCCUGGAGAGGAGCUCGCGUCUGAUUAGCUAGUUGGUGGGGUAAGAGCUCACCAAGGCUUCGAUCAGUAGCUGGUCUGANAGGAUGAGCAGCCACACUGGGACUGANACACGGCCCAGACUCCUACGGGAGGCAGCAGUGGGGAAUUUUCCGCAAUGGGCGAAAGCCUGACGGAGCAAUACCGCGUGAGGGAGGAAUGCCUUUGGGUUGUAAACCUCUUUUCUCAGGGAAGAAGAUCUGACGGUACCUGAGGAAUAAGUAUCGGCUAACUCCGUGCCAGCAGCCGCGGUAAUACGGAGGAUGCAAGCGUUAUCCGGAAUCAUUGGGCGUAAAGCGUCCGCAGGUGGUUUCCAAAGUCUGCUGUUAAAGACUGGAGCUCAACUCCGGAACGGCGGUGGAAACUUGGAAACUAGAGUUCGGUAGGGGUAGCAGGAAUUCCCAGUGUAGCGGCGAAAUGCGUAGAUAUUGGGAAGAACAUCGGUGGCGAAGGCGUGCUACUGGACCGUAACUGACACUCAGGGACGAAAGCUAGGGGAGCGAAAGGGAUUAGAUACCCCUGUAGUCCUAGCUGUAAACGAUGGAAACUAGGUGUGGCUUGUAUCGACCCGAGCCG
rnacentral:rRNA from 1 species